UACGGAGGGUGCAAGCGUUAAUCGGAAUUACUGGGCGUAAAGCGCACGCAGGCGGUCUGUCAAGUCGGAUGUGAAAUCCCCGGGCUCAACCUGGGAACUGCAUUCGAAACUGGCAGGCUAGAGUCUUGUAGAGGGGGGUAGAAUUCCAGGUGUAGCGGUGAAAUGCGUAGAGAUCUGGAGGAAUACCGGUGGCGAAGGCGGCCCCCUGGACAAAGACUGACGCUCAGGUGCGAAAGCGU
rnacentral:rRNA from 1 species